rnacentral:rRNA from 1 species
GACGAACGCUGGCGGCGUGCUUAACACAUGCAAGUCGAACGGAAAGGCCCUGCUUGCAGGGUACUCGAGUGGCGAACGGGUGAGUAACACGUGGGUGAUCUGCCCUGCACUUCGGGAUAAGCCUGGUAAACUGGGUCUAAUACCGGAUAGGAGCCAUUUUUAGUGUGAUGGUUGGAAAGUUUUUUCGGUGUAGGAUGAGCUCGCGGCCUAUCAGCUUGUUGGUGGGGUAAUGGCCUACCAAGGCGGCGACGGGUAGCCGGCCUGAGAGGGUGGACGGCCACAUUGGGACUGAGAUACGGCCCAGACUCCUACGGGAGGCAGCAGUGGGGAAUAUUGCACAAUGGGCGCAAGCCUGAUGCAGCGACGCCGCGGGGGGGAUGACGGCCUUCGGGUUGUAAACGCCUUUCGCUAGGGACGAAGCUUUUUGUGACGGUACCUAGAUAAGAAGCACCGGCUAACUACGUG